UACGAAGGGGGCUAGCGUUGUUCGGAAUCACUGGGCGUAAAGGGCGCGUAGGCGGCCUGAUAAGUAGGGGGUGAAAUCCUGCGGCUUAACCGCAGGGCUGCCUUCUAAACUGUCAGGCUUGAGCACAGUAGAGGCAGGUGGAAUUCCCGGUGUAGCGGUGGAAUGCGUAGAGAUCGGGAAGAACAUCAGUGGCGAAGGCGGCCUGCUGGGCUGUUGCUGACGCUGAGGCGCGACAGCGUGGGGAGCAAACAGG
rnacentral:rRNA from 1 species